UACGUAGGGGGCUAGCGUUGUCCGGAAUCAUUGGGCGUAAAGAGCGCGUAGGCGGCAAGACAAGUCCGGCGUGAAAGUCACAGGCUCAACCUGUGAAUGCCGCUGGAAACUGUCUGGCUAGAGUCCGGAAGGGGCGAGUGGAAUUCCUGGUGUAGCGGUGAAAUGCGCAGAUAUCAGGAGGAACACCUAUGGCGAAGGCAGCACGCUGGGACGGUACUGACGCUGAGACGCGAAAGCGUGGGGAGCAAACAGG
rnacentral:rRNA from 1 species